GUUAACUUGCUCACUGCUUGGGCUGGAUACGAGGUUUCCCUCCUGCUCAGGACAUGCAAAACCCUGUGGUGGCCAAAAGCCAGCACCGUUGCCAUGAAAUGUGCAAUAUCCAGCUCUCUUUACAAGGUAAACCCUACAGAAAACCCACACAAACCAUGAGCAGCUAUUAUGAACUGAAUCCAGUCCUUUGCUGAGCUAGCAAGGUGUGGCCUGAGUCCUACAGCAUUUGGAUGCUGCUGUACCUUGUACCAUAUCAGUUGGAAUUCAGUCUACACAGAAUGGCUUGGGUUGGAAGGGACCUUAAAUACCAUUUAGUUCCAACCCCUUUCCAGUGACACCUUCCACUAGAUGCAGUUGCCCAAAGCCCCAUCCAACCUGGCCUUGAACACUUACAGGGAUGGGGCUUCCACAGCUUCUUUGAGUAACUUUCAAAUAUGUGUCACCAUGCUGAUAGUGAAAAAUGUCAUCCUUAUAUCUAUUCUAAAUCUACCCUCUUUCAGUUUGAAACCAUUGCCCUGUUGCUACAUGCCCUUGUGAAAACUCUCUCCCCAUCUUUCUUAUAAGCUCCCUCUAUGUACUGGAAGGCUGCGGUGAGGUUUCUUCAGAGCCUCCUCCUCUCCAGUUUGAACAACUCCAGGUACCUGGACGCCAGAAGAGAAGCAAAACCCCAGUCGUGCUCCUGUGCUGUACUGAUUUCCAGCGGUGCGCUGGCUGCAGUUCCAGGUCCAGGAGCAGCCCUGCGGUGGCUUCAGCAGCACCCUCGCUCACGGGGCUGCAGGUGGGACCACGUCUGGCUGGAGAAAGCUGGGCACGAGGGUGGGGUGGUCCUGUGGGUGUGGGGCGACCCCGCACUGCUGCCCACCGACAUGCUCCUCUCACCUGGCAGGGGGUGCAGGGCACGCAGGACUGACCGCGUCGCCCUAUUUUCUCACCCCAAAGUGAAACAGGGUAAAAAGUAAAAAAAUGAAGCAGGAAUUUCAGAGUGUACCCAGCUCUUUGCUGCUGAGUGAUGAUGUGUGCAUAUAUGUGUUUUGUCGUUGUUACUGUUGUUUUUGAAGGAGAAUAGAGGGGAAUUUGGAAUUUACUCUGUGAAUUGCCAGCCCCAGAUUAGCCAUUUCAAUUCCUGAUUGUAAUCUUGUGUAUAAACGGAUUUUGUUCAGGGUAAUUGGGACUUAACCAUAAAUUUAGCCUUUUGAUGUACCAUUUAAAAAAUUAAAAAAAAUAGUCUGUAUGAUCGGUCUGAAAUUAUUUUUGACAUGCUCUUGGAGUAGUGCUGAAGAAAAAAACAUCCAAAGAGUUGAGAAAAAUGUUGCAGUGAAGUUCAGCUUACACGUGAGAGUACUGGUGGGAACUCUCGUUGUGUUCACCUCGCUGGUCCUUCACUGUGGUAUUGGUGUAUGAUCGUAAUGGGUACCUCCGUAGACAUUGUAGUCAGGAAAAAAAAGGUGAGAACCUAUCGGAUGUGUUACACUGACCACUGCAACUGUCUCACAGCACUCAGCAUUUCUUGGUCAAGGCUGUGAAGGAUUUCAGAUAUUUUCCACCUUUAGCACACUUUAAAUGUACGCUUCAUGACUCUGAUGACAGUCUCCUUGUUAAUGUUUCAUUGCAAUCAAAAAGCCAUUGUUAGAAAAACGACUAUUUCAGUGCCUAUUUUGUUCCCUUGCAGAGCAGAGCUGGUCUCGGUGAUUUGGCUCUCCUGGAAAGUAAUUCAUUCAAAUAAAUGUAAAUCACCUUUUUGCGUUGUUGGGCCG
ensembl:lncRNA